rnacentral:rRNA from 1 species
AACGAACGCUGGCGGCAGGCCUAACACAUGCAAGUCGAACGCGAAAGUCCUUCGGGAUGAGUAGAGUGGCGGACGGGUGAGUAACGCGUAGGAAUCUAUCCUGCAGUGGGGGAUAACGUUUCGAAAGGAACGCUAAUACCGCAUACGCCCCAAGGGGGAAAGCGGGGGAACUUCGGACCUCGUGCUAGAGGAGGAGCCUGCGUUGGAUUAGCUAGGUGGUGAGGUAAAGGCUCACCAAGGCGACGAUCCGUAGCUGGUCUGAGAGGAUUAUCAGCCACACCGGAACUGAGACACGGUCCGGACUCCUACGGGAGGCAGCAGUGGGGAAUAUUGCGCAAUGGGCGAAAGCCUGACGCAGCCAUACCGCGUGUGUGAAGUAGGCCUUCGGGUUGUAAAGCACUUUCAGUGGGGAGGAAAAGCUGGUGGCUAAUAUCCAUCGGCCGUGACGCUACCCACAGAAGAAGCACCGGCUAAUUCCGUGCCAGCCGCCGCGGUAAGAC